CCUACGGGUGGCAGCAGUGGGGAAUAUUGCACAAUGGGGGAAACCCUGAUGCAGCGACGCAGCGUGAAUGAAGAAGUAUUUCGGUAUGUAAAGCUCUAUCAACAGGGAAGAAAAUGACGGUACCUGAUUCAGUAGCCCCGUCUAACUACGUGCCAGAAGCCGCGGGAAUACGUAGGGGGCAAGCGUUAUCCGGAUUUACUGGGUGUAAAGGGAUCGUAGACGGCAGCAUAAGUCUGGAGUGAAAUGCCGGGGCUUAACCCCGGAACUGCUUUGGAUACUGUAAAGCUAGAGUGAAGUAGAGGUAAGCGGAAUUCCUAGUGUAGCGGUGAAAUGCGUAGAUAUUAGGAGGAAAACCAGUGGCGAAGGCGGCUUACUGGACUGUAACUGACGUUGAGGCUCGAAAGCGUGGGGAGCAAACAGGAUUAGAUACCCGAGUAGUC
rnacentral:rRNA from 1 species